rnacentral:lncRNA from 1 species
GCGUUUUGAGUUUUUUUGCAUCACAUGGACUAAUGGCUGUUUGGAAUGACAAAGCCUCUAAGAUAUCAUUUGUAUGUCAAUUUUCCACCCUAACUGAUUUCUUUUAUUUUUUGAAAAACUUUAGUAUUUUUCCUAUGAUAUAGCCUGCUUGUGAAUUUUGUGGAAGGGCCUUAUUAUCUAACCUGGAAAAAUUAUACAUUUAACCAUUUCAAUCAUUUUCCAUAUAAAGAAAUCAUUGUAAGCAACUUAAUCACAAACAGUGGUCUAAUAUCAUUUAUAUUGUAAUUGUUUUCUCUGUGUUUGUAAUCAGCUGAAGUGUGGGAUGUGCUAGAUUGUACAUUAGACUUUAUACAUAAGACUUAAGGUUAUUACCAAGGGUACCAACUUUAUGACCUUUCAGGUGGACUUGGUUAAGAUGACCCAGUGGUACUCUAGAAACAAUACUUGAUAUAGGCUUGGUUUGGGCAGGGUCGUUGCAGUCAGUGUGGUAUUUUUUUUUGCAGUUUAAGCUCAAGUAUAUGCUAUUAGUAUGUCCUAUUUCAUAAGAGCUCAUUUCUCUAUUUUUAUACACCUUAAUAAGAGAGUUUAUUUUCUACAGACUUAUAAGUUAUAUAAUGAUUAAAGUUUAAACAUGAUGAAGUCUAUAAUUUAUCUAGAUAUUAUUGUCGUUAUUUAGAUUAGCUAGAAGGUUAAAUUCGAAAAAUCAACUCUAUGUAAAUUACAUGUUCUUUUGAAAGUGGACUUCAUAUCUGGGCAGAGGGAAUAUCACAUCUCAAGAUUGUGUAGGGUAGCUGCAGUUAAGUAAAUGUUCAGUCAUCUAAAUGCAAGAGUUUUGUCUUGUUAUUAAAGGUGAAUCAUAUAGAGCAGCAGUCCGACAGAUUCCUAAACUCUAUGGCCAAUUAAAUUCACCUCAGUUGGAAAGAAUUACUACUCUUGAUGCACAUAAGUCGAAGGCUAAAUGGUAAGUUGAUCAUUUCUGGGCACAAACUUAUGUGUUUCUCAUGAUAAGGAAUAUUUUUACACGCACGUGAAUAUAUAUGUUUGUUGUCUCUUAGGAAGUGGUGGUUUUAUUUAUAAUUAUUAAUUUUUGUUUGCUGUCAAAAAUUAAUUAACUGCAACAACAAGGCAGUAGUUCCAAGAAACAACAGUUUAAAGCUGCCUGAAGUCUAGUUCCAAAUUAUAUGAUUAACAGAACUAAAACUAGUUUAAAGCUGUUACACCAGUUUCAUUGUACUUUGAUUUUUGGCAUGUUGUUAAUAUUUGACUUUCAUUGGCUUCCUUGUUAUGCUAUAUUCAGGUUUUUUUCCCUUUUGGGAUGGACCUUUCUUUUCCUCAAGCUCUCUUUCCUUCCAUUAAGUUUUUUUUGGCCCUUUGUUUUUGUCAGUUUGAUGCAAUCAUUUUCUGAGCUGGAGCAAGAUGAAUUGAGUCCAUAUCUGCAAGAGUAGUUCUAAUAAUUUACUGGUAUAAGUAUUUCAAUGACAUAUACUGCUCGUUAUCAAUGAGUUCAAAAGAAAAUAAAUCAAGUCUCACGCCUUUCAAGAUAUUUUUGCAGGAACAACUUCAUAUGGGAAAAUAACAUCUUGUAGUAUAGACGAUGGAACUAUUGUGGGUGUACAGUCUUCAACUGGAGCUCCAAUUAGUCGAUAUUUGGACAACCCCUUCCACCAUUGGAUCUCGUCUAGUGUUCCAAGUAGUUUAUCCUCUCUCGUUAGUGGAUCUAACAUGUCGUACUUUAUUCCUUCUAGUUCAUUGUUAUUCUUUUAGUUUUCUUAUGUUAGUUAAUAAAUUUUGUAGGUAGUAUGGUCCUUGGGAGACUAAGAUACAAUAACAAAUUUUGUAGUUAUUGUGACUCGAGUAUUAUGAUCUAUUUAUAUGUGAAG